UUACCAAAUAAACUACUGUGAUAAUUCAUAUCAUUAGUAUAACCCAUGUCUUUGUUAAUACACAUAAAUCUUACUCAAAUAACUAACUCUUAUUGAUAAAAUUAAGUUUGGUUAACAAUCAACAGCUGUUAUCAAAAGAACAUUAAAAGUUAGAGUUAAUUUGAACAACAAAUCAAUGUCUACAGAAGCAAGUCUGAGGUUAACUCAAAUGAAGAGAUUUUGUUGACAACAGUAUGUCAGGUUAACUCAAACAAACAAAUCUUGUAAGCACAAGAAAGAGUAGGGUUAACCUAAUCAACUAACUAACUUAAACAUCUAACAUAUGUUAACAUCAGUAAGUCUACAAUUAAGUUGAACAAUCUACUUUUCCUAACAUAAAUGUAAAAUUAUCCAACUUUACAAAUCAAAUCUUAUCAGCAAAAAUAAGCAAUUUUAACUGAGACCAUAAUCUCCUGUUAACACAAGUUAGUAUGUUAGUUACUUGAACACUUAACUUCUAUUAACACUAGUAACACUGGGGUUUACUUGAACAAAUAACUCUUAUCAACACAAAUAAGUUUGUGGUUAAACCGAGACUUUUUCUUGUUAACACAUGUAAGUCUGUGGUUAACUCAUAUGACAGACGUUUGUUAACAAAAGUUAAUCUGGAAUUGACUCUUGUUUACAAAAAUGAGUCUGUGGUUAACAAAUAACCAACUCAUGAUAACAAAAGUAAGCUAAUAGUUAUUAAAUUACUUAGGCAUGUUAACAUAAGUUAGUCUGUGGUUAAUAAAUAACCAAGUCAUGUUAACAUAAGUUAUUCAGGGGUUAUCAAAUAACCAACUCAUGUUAACAUAAGUAAAUCUAAAGUUACCAAACAACCAACUCAAACAGCAUUAGCAAAUAUUGGGUAAAGAAAUAACCAACCCUUGUUAACAGUAAACAAAUAACCUCCUCUUAAUAACACAAGUUAGCUUGUGGUUAACAACCAAUCAGUUCUUGUUUAACCAAAAUAUCUAAUUUGCUUGACCAAUCAACACCUUUCAACACAAGUUAACCCAACAAAUGACUGACUGCUGUAAUCACAAGCUGGUCUGUUAUAUACACUAAUGACUGACUGCUGUAAUCACAAGCUGGUCUGUUAUAUACACAAAUGACUGACUGCUGUAAUCACAAGCUGGUCUGUUAUAUACACAAAAGACUUGACUGCUGUAAUCACAAGCUGGUCUGUUAUAUACACAAAUGACUGACUUCUGUUAACAACAGCAUGUGUGUCAUAAACUAGAACUACCAAUUCUUGUGUACACAAGUUAAUACAGUGAAACUUGAACAGUCAACUCUUGUGUACACAUGUUAAUACAGUGAUAAACUUGAACAAUCAACUCUUGUGUACACAAGUUAAUACAGUGAUAAACUUGAACAGUCAACUCUUGUGUACACAAGGUAAUACAGUAAUAAACUUGAACAAUCAACUCUUGUGUACACAAAUUAAUACAGUGUUAACUUAAGCAGACAAGCUCUGUUGGCAUGUGUAUGGCAAAAGUUAGUUUAUGAACAACCAACUGUUGUAAACCCAAGAAUUAAAUAACUUAUUCCUAUUGAUUCAUUGAUAAUGAAUUGAAUUAAUUUAUAAACUUUAAAAAUAAUAGCACAAUGUAUAUAUUCAUUUGGAAACAGUCCUGAAAAUCUAAACAAAAAUAUCUAUAUCUGAUAAAAAGAUCUAAGUUCCAAUAAAGCAAUUCUACAAAGCACAAUCACAUAACAUCUAUUUUGUUAAACUUAUGUCAUGUGAUCUAUCCCAUAAUCCAAUGAUCCUAACUGCACAAAACAGAGAGUAGAACAAAAAGAAAAGGAGUGAAGAGUUUCAGAUCAAUACUGUGCAGAAAACAGACCACAAAAUGACUUCUUUUUUAACAAUAUAUUCUGAAAAGGGAUGUUACUGAGUGGUCAAUCUUAAUUUGAAAUCAAGAUAAAGAAAGAGAAAAAGAUUAUGCAAAAUGCAUUGUCUGAUAUUAAAAAUUAUCAACAACUUAAUACAAUAUGAUUUUUUAAAGUAAAAUGUAUAAUAUUAUUCACUUUGAAGAAGUCAUUGUU